UAUCAAAUGAACCCAUGUGGUAUCGCCCUCCUUAUAAUAGGCCUUGUGUUUCUCCUCAUUCAACAAAUAUGGUAAGCCUUGUUUUAUGGGUCAAAUCUUAAUUUUUGUUUCCCCUCUCAAAGUUGUUAUAUAAAUAUGGUGUGACAACUGUUUUAUUGAAUUUUAAAAACUAUAUUGUUAAAUGGGGUUUGAGUUUUUUUCUCUAUAAAAAUAUAUUUAAAUUUUCAAUUCCAAUUGAAUUGUAGGAAAAUAUGGCUACUCAAAGUUUAAAUGGAGAAUUUAGUGAAGAAAAAGUAUAUGUUUCUGAGAGCUUUGUUGUGGACAUGGAACACAUAUCUCAUCAUCUUGUAGAAAAAGAAAUAAAUGCAAAUUCAAGAAUUACUUUGCAGAGAAACCAUUCGAGGAAGGGAUCAUUAAAAAAACAAAAUUUCAACGAUAUCAAUGAAAAAGACACAAACCUAAUGGCCAUUUCACCAAAAGGUAAUACUUUUUUUAAAUUCAUUUUUCAUUUCAAGAAAUGAAAAAAAAAAGGAAAAAAAAGAAGAGAAAUCUUCACUAUGAAUAUCAAGUUGAGGUACUUUAUAAUAGUUUGAUAAAAGUAUUUUUAGAUGAUAAAUUGAGGUUUAAAGCUACCAACUAUAUUUUUCCUCUCCUAUUAAUCCCUACUUAAACUAGAGGCUUUUCACAUCGUAUAUCAAUAAAAAAUUUAUGUUAUAAAAAAUUGUAAUUAUCCCUUUAUUUUAAUUUUCCUUUUUUAAUUGAAUGUAUUUAAAUUUGAUGAUGGAAAAGAAACACCAUAGUAGUAUCACUUUGACAUUUUCACCAAGGUUAAAAAAGUUACAUUAGAAAAAUGGGUGUUAGUCUUGGCUACGAGCUAGCUUGUUAGAGUAUCGUGGAAUGUUUGAUCAGUUAAAGUUUUUGGAGAAUAUUUUUUUUGAAAAAUAAAUUCGUUAAAAUUCACCUUAUUUAUCUGAAGGAUAAUUUGUAGAAAAUAUUUUCGUCUGUAUCAAAGAGAAAGAGAAACUUAUAUAUAAAUUAUAGGAUAAUAAUAACAACAAUAAUUAUUUUGAAGGAUUUUAUAGUUGGACCAUCAUAGAGGUAUUAAUUAAGUGACAAUUAGACGAUCAUAAAGUUAUUAAGUGAUAAUUAAUUAAUCGUGUCUAAACAUGCACCAUGCACUUGCACGAAAUGGUUAGUUUGACUAAACAACUCACCACAUAUAAGAUAAUCCACUAUGUAUCCUCAUUUUCAAAGUUAAAAAUUUGUUUAAAAUAAUAAUAAUAGUACUUAGCUUAGUUGUCUUGUAAUUUCCUUAAAUUCCUUUUAAAUCUCUAUAAUGAGACAAUAACGUUUACGUCAAAUUAAUACAAAUUAUCAUCAAACGUAUAACAAAAUUGAUAUGAAACUUAGCAAAUUUUAUAAAUUUAGAAUAAUAAUAUCAAGGGAAAAUAGAGACACUAAAUUUCAACUAAAGUAACGAAGUUUGACUAUCUCCAUAAAUAACCUUCUAGCUUCGCUGCUGAUUAUAAUAAUUAAAUUAUUUAAUGAAGCUUUUACCUGCUCCAAUCUUUAAUCCUAGACGUGCCACAUACGUACGUCAUUAGUUUGUAAUUAAUAUUUAUAAUAUAGAUGCACAUGCAUUAGAAUCAUUCUUUUUCUUUUUCUUUAUCGUAUUAGCUUAGAAUUAUGUUUUUGUCAAUAUUCUUUUGAAAGAUUGUCAAGAUUUUCUUGAUGAGACACAAUUUGCUGAAAUCAUGAUACUAAGUCUAAUUAUUAUUUUUUCUUCAAUUAAAUGGAAUAACUGAAAAAUAUUUUAUCCAAUCUAUCCAUUCAAUAAUUCAAAAAUGUUGAAGAUAAGAAUGAUUAUUGAUAUAUAAUUUGCCAAGGGGGUCGAGUUUGGAGAGUGCCAUACCUUUAAAAUUUCUUAAUUUAGAAUAAACCGUACAUGCUUUAGAAAUAUUGAGUAAAGCGUAGUAAUCACCUAACACAUUAUUAUGGUAUAAUAUUUUUAGUUAUAUACAUUAACAAAGAUUAUAUAUAUAUGACUAGUGUAAUUUAAACGGUAUGCAGCAGAGCUGGUAAGGAAGGAUCUAGGAUUCGAUUAUAUCAUAUAUGGUUAAAAUUACUUUUUACGUAUAUGUAGUAGUACAUGUUAAAUUCUCUUUGACUUCUUCAUGUGUUAACUCUUUAUAUUUUAAUCCCUUAGUGAGAAUUCUGGCUCCACCAUUGAUCAUACAUAUUAGUUACUUCUUUUGGUUUACUUUGUUUAUAAUAGCUUGACUAUAUACGAAAUUUAAAAAAGAGAGAACGAUGACUCCUAAUACUUGUCAUAAUGUUUGUGUGGCUAGGGCAACUUUUUGAUAUCGAGUUCAUUUGAACUGAAUACUUUACCUACAAAAUAUAAAUUUAGAUGUAAAUACGUAAUGGAUUCAUGCCAAAAUCUUAAAGAUUGAAUCCUUAAGAAUGUAUCAUUCUUUUUUGUCAAGGGAUUAAUAAAGAAAAUUAAAACAAGAGUGUUAUUUUAUCAAGUCACCGAUGUAAUUACCUUCUAAAUGACCUGAUUGUAUUUAACAUCAUAGCAUAUAUAGAACAUAAAUUCUGAACUUUUUUAGUGCAACUUCUUUGCUAGGAGCUAGCAUGCCUGAAAAGUCCAUUGUGGUAACAUCUGAUCACUCCAUACCACAUGUACACAAUCAGAACACUUCAGUGGUGGCCGCCAGUAGCGGUGCUGCUGCCACCACCACCACCACCACCGCCAUCGAUGGUAAAGUAGCUGUCUCCAAGAGAUUCAGUUUCCGACGAUCUUCUUCCUCCUCGCCUUGGACCAUUGAUCCCAGGAGGAUACUUAUUUUCUUUGCUACCUUGUAAGUUCUCUUAACCAGUUAAAUAGAAGAGAAAAGUAUUGAAAACACCCUAAACUCGGUGUGAAUAACUAUUGACAGUUCCUGAACUUGACUAACUGAAGCCAAAUAGGGGCAUAAACCACUAAAUAGGCAUGGACUAAACCAAUGAUUUGCAUUGUAUAAACAACUGACUUUUUGUUCUUGUUUUUUCUACAUUUACAGAUCAAGUAUGGGAACAAUACUGCUGAUCUAUUUCACACUAUCCAUGACCAAGCUCAAUGGAGAAGAUAAAGCUUCGUAUUGAUCUAUCUUCAUACUAUUCAUUGCCACGAUCAACGGAGAAGACAACAUUCUCAGUUGAUAGAAAAGACGUCAAAAACUGUUUUCCCUCCUAAAAUAACAAAGUGAUGGAAAAGUCUGUAUGAUAUCGAAGCAGAAGAGAUUGAGCAUAAUUGAUUUUCGGGUGACAGACUAUCUGUGAACAUUUGGAAGUACAAAGAAAGGAAUGGAGUCAAAGAGAUGCUAAAAAAACAGAUAGACCUUCUUUUUAGGAAGAAUUCAAAUGGCAGAUGUAUAAAAUGAGUCUAACUUUAAUACAGUCGCAAUGCAAAAGAAUUUUUAUACCAUCAUAUGUUUCGCUCAUUAAACAAGGAAACAUGAUCGCAUGAGAAGACAUGUUGAAAACACAAACAAAGCAAAUCAAAGUGUAUUAUUUCUAACAACUUAAACUUGUAGAUGAGUUGUUAAUACAACUUGAAGUUGUCGGUAUCUCAUACUGACUGAUGUUUUAAUAACAAAUAAAGGAGUUACGCUGCCCUGUAUACAGAUCUAAUUCACAAAAUUUUAAUGAAGAGCGAGGAAUAACCAACCUUUUGCUAUUUUUCUCACAUUUCCUUCAUGUCCUGCCUCCUACUCAUCUCGGUUUCUUUUGAGAUCCUAUGCCAACUUCAAAGUAGCAAUGAUA
rnacentral:lncRNA from 1 species